UCAAAGACACGCUUUCGAUUGCGGUGUGCAGGUUUUUACGAUGGUCUGGUGCCUAUUUGAAAUGCAUCCCUCUCUUUCUCAGCGGGUGGUUAGCAGGGAGAAAUCAACGAUGGCCCAUAUAGACAACCUUCUUACAAUGCUUCAAAUACAUGCUGCCUGUAUCGUCUAAACACUGGGUGCAGGACCGAUAUCCCUUAUUUGUUUGUCCCAAAAGAUUACUCAGUGCAGGCCAAUCAUUGAUGGUUACAAACAACAAUGCUCGUAGGUUAAAGCUCUCUUGUUUAUCCUCAUCCCACACACGUGCACCUUUUUCCUUCCAGAGCAAUAAAAGUUCAUCAACCAAUGGUCUUAGGUACACGUCAAUGUCAUUGCGGGGUUGUUUUGGGCCUUGGAUAAGCAUCGGCAUCAUAAUGAACUUCUGCUUCACGCAUAGCCAAGAAGGAAGGUUGACCAUGCAUAGGGUCACAAGCCAAGUACUAUGACCACUACUCAACUCACUAAAUAGAUUGAAUCCAUCAGUACUUAAACCAAACCUUAUAUUCCUUGCAUCACUUUCAAAGUUCGGGAAUCUCUAUCAAUUUAUCUCCACCGGGCCCCAUCCGCGGGGUGUCUCAGCAUCUCAUCUUGCUUACGUUCUUCUUUGUGACAUCGCAUCAAUUUAGCAUUUGCCUUGUUUCUGAAUAAACCCUUCAAGCAUGGUAUUACAUGGAAAUACCACAUCACCUUCACAGGAACUCUCUCCUUGGGAGGCUGCCCCUCGACAUCAUCAAGAUCAUCUCGUCUGAUCUUAUACCACAGCGCUCUGCAUAUAGGACAAGCAUUCAAUUUCUCGUAUUCAUCACCAUGAUAGAGGAUACAAUCAUUAGGGUAUGCGUGUAUCUUCUGAACCUACAAUCCUAGAGGCAAACAAUCUGUUUAGUUUCAUAUGUGGUGGACGGCAAUUCAUUAUUCUCGGGAAGAAUCUUCUUGACAAUUUUCAACAUCCCCUGAAAUGCCUUAUCGGACACACCAUUUUUUGGCUUUCAUUGCAUAAAUUCUAGUGUGGUACCUAGUUUUUUAUGGCUCUACUUGCAAUCUAGGUACAACAAUUUUUUAUGAUCAUUAAUCAUGCGCUGCAACUUUUCUGAUUCCUUCACAAUUUCACAAUCUCUAUGUGCAUCCCAUAGCACCUGACUAAGGUCAUUAGUAGGGCCAUCUUCUGCAAACUCAUCUUCAUCAACCUCGCCCAUCGUAGUAUCUGCAAAAGCUUGGCCUGCAGCCGAGUCCGGAAUGUUGUUAUCAUCCUUCUCUUCUUCGCCGUCUUCCAUUACAACCCCUCUUUCGUCAUGCUUGGUCCAAACCAAAUAGUUAGGCAUUAAACUGUAUCUAAACAAGUGGCUAUGAAUAGUCUCCCUAGAAGCCUAUGAAUAGUCCUUCUUGUUACUGCAUUGGAAGCAUGGACAACAUAUGAACCCGUUCUCUGACUUGUUCACUUUGGCCACUUCAAGAAAAUAAUACAAGCCAUCAACAAACUCCUUGCUUCGUCUGUCCGCGUUAUACAUCCAUUGCUGGUCCAUCUGCAUCGUAUUACGUGGAAAAUGAACAUAGGGUUUCGUAUAGAAUUAUUAUUUAUAAUUUAGUUCUUGCAUUAAACAUGAGAUAAAUAAAUUUUUGGUCAAAGAAAUACAAUUAUUAAUUGUUAAAUUAUAGUGGCAUGAAAAAAUGUAGCAAUGACCAAAUUUUAUUUUUUUACACCUACAAUUUAUUUACCUUAAUUUUAUUGCAAUGACUAAAUAUUAAAAACAUAUUUACUCUAAUUUUUUCUCAUACAUAAUAUUGAAAUCCUCUCAAUUCUCCCUCACAUUCUAGCUCAAAAUCCUCUCCAUUUUCUCCUUCACAUUCUCCCACACAUCAACUUAUUUUAACUAAUAGGAAUCAUAUAUAACAAGCAAACUAUCCAUCACAUUCUAGCUCAAAAAUAUGUAUAAAUACAAAUCCUCUCCAUUCUCCCUCAUUCUAACCAACUCAUUUUUCUCCCUUUCUAAAGCAUAAAACAAAACAUAACAACAAUAAAUGAAAGGAGGAUAAAGUACCUAACCUUCACAACGCUUUGGAUGAGUGAAAUCCCCACGGAAAUGAGGAAAAAAAAUUCGACCAGC
rnacentral:lncRNA from 1 species